rnacentral:rRNA from 1 species
UACGGAGGGGGCUAGCGUUGUUCGGAAUUACUGGGCGUAAAGCGUGCGCAGGCGGUUCGCAAAGUCUGAUGUGAAAGCCCCGGGCUCAACCUGGGAACUGCAUUGGAAACUAACGGGCUCGAGUGUGGCAGAGGGGGGUGGAAUUCCACGUGUAGCAGUGAAAUGCGUAGAGAUGUGGAGGAACACCGAUGGCGAAGGCAGCCCCCUGGGCUAACACUGACGCUCAGGCACGAAAGCGUGGGGAGCAAACAGG